GUGAGUAUAUUGGUAGAAGGAUGAUGAUGAUGGAGCUGCCAGGCAAGAGAGCUAGAGGAAGACCAAAGAGAAGGUUGAUGGAUGUCGUGAGGGAAGAUAUGAUGGCAGUUGGUGUUCGAGAGGAGGAUGCAGGAGAUAGGCUUACAUGGAAAAGGAUGACGCGCUGUGGCGACCCCUAACGGGACAAGCCGAAAGGAAAAGAAGAAGAAAGAUUUCAUGAUAAUAAUACAUUAAACAUAUUGCGCUUCUCAAGACACUCAAAGAUGCUUUACACUAAUCCGAUGACAAUAACAGUAAGGUGGGUGAGCAGGAAGCCCGGGUGGCGGGUGCUGGUGUCAGAGACACUUGUCCACUGCGGUGGAAUGCAGAAAAGUCAUGGCAGCCAGUAAGAGCCUAGCUGGAUGUAAGGAAGGAUGUUCGGUAGCUGAGCUUGCUGCACGCAUCUUCAUGCGUCACAACCAAAGCCGGUAUUCGAGAGCUUGCUGAGAGAGAGAGAGUGCUUGCUGUCAUCCGUGACAUGUUCCCGUCCUCCUCGCCGACGGUGCCGAAGCUCCCGGACUUCAAACCUCUCAUGGAUCCCAGAUCUCAUUUCGAAAAUUGCAUAAGUAUUUGGACAGAUAAGACAGGGUCACAUCCCUAAGGGAAGCAAAUGUUAUUUAUAGAAUUGCUUUGCCAGCUGAAGUCCCAAAACUGAACUUAUUAAAGACCCUGACCUCAUGAAAGGGGGAGAUAGCUACUUUAAUCGUCAUGAGUCUCACCAUUUUAAACUUUUUGUCGACAGACACCACAAAUCAUCAGACGAUGUAAAGGACAUGCAGGAACAACUUUUGAAGUUACAAUUGGCCCAGGCCCGAAAAGUGGCUACUGACAACAAACAAAAAACGGAAAAAAGACCUUGCUCAAAGGACCAACGGGAGCAGAGGAAGCGCUCGCCAUCCUCCACCGGAUCAAGCAUGCUUCAACUGCUGUCAGCAUGGACACUGGUAUCGUCAAUGUAAUGCUCCCCCACUGAUGCAACAGAGACCUCCAGCGGGACCCGGAGGGGCCCCACCUCAAAGAGGAGGCUACAGAUCUCCACGCGGCAAAGGUGGACGCAGCACGGCACCCUAGCAACAGCAUCCGCAGCAGGCUCCACAGCAACAACAGCCAUCUAGCCAGUUCAACAGCGAUGAGGACUGGUCCGAAUACCCAAUGGGCCCGGAGCCAGGGGACGGAGGAAAGGCAGAGCCUCUUUUCCCCGCUAAGGUGGACAAGACAGACAUCCACAUGCUAGUGGACACAGGUGCCACAUAUUCAUCUGUAUGUUUACCACUUCCUGAUCCAAACACUCAGGGAAGACGGCCACCUUAAUGAGCUUUGCAGGGGUGCCCAUUAGUCUGCCAAUUUCAACACCAUUAAAGACUGAAAUUGCUGGACAGACAGUGAACCUGAUGGGCAGAGAUCUGCUUAUCAAAACCAGGGCUACUAUCCUUUGCAGCCUGGACGGACUGACGAUACGGUUCCCAGAUGGGACCGUGAUGAACUGUGGACGGAAAUUGUCCGCCGGAUGGAACAUUGUGAAACAUGAACUCCUGGAAGCGACCGCUGACAUUUAUUGGGCCUGACUUCAACCAGAAACAAAGGCGGGAGGCGGCGUCUCCUCGGCCUUCCUGGGGUGGAAGCCCUGGAUCGACUCGCUUGCCUCCUACAGCCCUCUGAUCGAUCCCCUCCAUCUCACACUGUACUAUGAUAAAAAUGACGAUUUGGUUUACAGAGAAGCCUUUGAGUCAAUACAGGAUGAAAAUGCUGGAUGCUCAAUAGUACAGGUAUUUACAUAGGGAAGCAAGGUGUGGCAGCUGCCUCUCCCUUGACGCAAGAGCAGAGUGACUGGUUUAUGAUGAGUUCGACAUCUUUUCCACACAUUUCACUUGCACUUGCACAAGAUCAUGAAGCCUGAGAACUGCGACCCAUGGGUCCCGCGGUGGACGAGGGGAUGUUGGAUCAUGUGACACUGGCGCGAUUCCAUGGCAGAGAGCUCUCGGACCAGGAAGACGGCAUACAGCUGUUGAACUCGCUGCCGGACUCACUGUGGUCCGAGGGGCCUGCCGGUGGGGGACUAUGUGCAUUUGUGACUCUGGUAACAUUCGAGGUAGACCCGACUGCUUUUGUUAACGUGCCAUAGUAUCCCUGUAAACAAGAGGCCGCGGAAGACAUUGCAGAGACCCAAAUUCUGACUUCCGAAUGCUUUGAUCCACAAAUGAUUUUGUGAAACCCUCCGCUCAAGCUGCAGAACUUCUGGCCAUGUGCAGGGCACUGGAGUCAUCUGAAGGUCAGAGUGUUACUAUUUAUUAAUGGUGCAGCUGAUGCCGGGCUAAAAAAAGGUAGCAGGCUAUCAAACGGAUGAUGAAUGUAACUAUGUUGUUAAACAGGAUCAGUUGAUUGACUUUCUCCCUGCAGUAACGGUUGGUGUAGUGCGCGACCUCUAAGAGGCGGCGCCAGAGGAAGACAAACGUAAGUGGCAAAAUAAAGAUGCUGAGUAUGACGACAAGGAGAAGCUGUGGUUUGGCCCAGCGAUAGGCCCUAGGAGACUGGUGUUACCUACAGGAAAGUUAAUCCGGUUAGUGGUUGAGGAAGCACACGCCCCAACACAUGAGAGUUAUGUGUCAAUGCUGUACAAGCUCCGCUUUUGGUGGCACCCUGAUCUUCUGCGUAAGGUAAAAGACUUUGGUGUUUUAUGUGAUUUUUGUCAGAAUUUCAGUGUUGGCCCUCCAACGAAGAGGGAACUGCAACACACUGAGAUGGGCUGAUGCCCGAAUGAUGUGGUAGUAAUGGACUAAACCGACAUGGUGGUCCCCGUAAUGAUGUCGACACUUUUUCUGGAUGGCCCGAAGCCUAUCCUUGUGCAAAAGAGGACGCACCGUCUGUCAUCAAAGCGCUGGUUAACCAUUAAGAAAACCCGAGUCGAUUGUCAUCAAAGCGCUGGUUAACCAUUAAGAAAACCCGAGUCGACUGUAAGACAUCCUUACAAUAGUAUGUUGAUAGUGCAACAGUAUAGUGAAUGGCAAUACAGUAUAGUGAAUGCAAUCCUUUCCAUUUACAAAAGAGGGAGGAUGUGCCAGAGGUGUUAAGUUGAUUCGCUACUGGGCAUAGUGACUUGCCAGCUAUGUUGGAAGGGAAAAUACGAUAGAUGAGAAUAGAGGGAGUUAGGGUGUUUGUCAGAAUAAAAGUAUGUUAUCUCAUGUUUACUCUAAUCCUAUUUCAAAGCAUGCAUUUAGCAGUAUAAUGUUGACUGAGUAUAAUGUUGAUUGUAUCAUGUGUAUUGAAGUUGUCUGUGAGUCUGUUUACACGUUGCUGCUAUGUGCUCCCCCAACUUUAUAGCAGCAACAGCUGUGCAACUAGGAACCGCCCUCAGAAAAUAAAAAGAGAGGAAUCGACAGAGUUUAUUCAGAGCGAUAGGAGUUUGUAAACUGCGAACAACUCUUAUUGUUCUCCUCGUGAGUAUAUAAACCAUCUCUUGUCUUCCUUCCUUGUUUAUUAAAUGUUCUGUUGACAUGUUGUUGGCUGAGAGAGGAGGAGUCUGUGCUAUGUUCGGAGAACAAUGCUGCACAUUCAUUCCCAACAACACAGCUGCGGAUGGCAGUCUCACCAAGGCCAUAGAGGGACUCAGAACCCUUAAUGGUAAAAUGAAAGAACACUCUGGUGUUGACACCUCCAUGAGGGACUCCUGGAUGAAUGCCUUUGGAAAAUCCAAAGCCGUGGUGACCUCAAUUUUGGUAUCAAUCACUGUUUUUGCAGCAAUUUUGACCUUGUGUGGAUGUUGUUGUAUUCCUUCUCUGCGUUCUCUCAUUAAUAGAUUGAUAACAACAGCAAUAUCACCCAUGGAGUACCAGAUGGCUCAAAUGUAUCCUUUACUUGGUCUUGACGCUGAAGAUAAUGACACUGAUGAUGAUAAUGACGUGCAUUAUGAGCUGCCGGAUUUAUUUCUAGAUCCAGGUGACUAUGAAUAAAGAUUAACAUUGCCUCUGAGUGUAAAUGUAUUUGUUUUCAAAAAAAUGAUCCUACAGUCGAAAAUCUAAUUGAAGAGACUGAUGUAAGGUGAUGUGAGAAUUUGAGCAAAUAUGUGAUAAACAGGAGGGAAAUGUCAGAAUAAAAGUAUAUAAAUUAUCUCGUUUACUCUAAUCCUAUUUCAAAGCAUGCAUUUAGCAGUAUAAUGUUGAUUGAGUAUAAUGUUGAUUGUAUCAUGUGUAUUGAAGUUGUCUGUGAGUCUGUUUACACGUUGCUGCUAUGUGCUCCCCCAACUUUAUAGCAGCAACAGCUGAGUAACUAGGAACCGCCCUAAGAAAAUAAAAAGAGAGGAAUUGACCGUUUGUUCAGAGCGGUAGGAGUUUGUAAACUGCGAACAACUCUAAUCGUUCUCCUCGCGAGUAUAUAAACCAUUUCUUGUCUUCCUUCCUUGUUUAUUGUUUAUUAAAUGUUCUAGGUUGUUUGAACCUGACAGUGUUUAUAAUGACCAGCUACAUACGCCAUGAGACAGUGUCUAAUUUGCAUCAUGUACAAGGGAAAUUAUGUGGAAUACCUUGUCUUUGAGAAUGUCUAAUAUGGUGUGAGGAUUAAUCUGUUUGGUUGUCCCCCCAGAUUCAGCAGUAGAGCAGGGAGGACAAAGAGGAUUUUUCACAUCUGUCUGGCAAGUACAUUUUGAGGAGGUUUAUUUAUUUGUUUAUGAUAUUUAUUUUAUAUCGAUAUGUUUCGUGUUUACUGUUUGUGUCGUGUUAAUUGAAAGCAGAAAUGGAGCGCCAAUGGAGCCGGCUAACAGAAGUGUUUGUGGAGAUGUGAUCACCUGCAAGAGUAAGACCCAUAUUAAAUAUAGCAUCCCAAGAUGUUGGGAGCCUGAGUUCAAAUUAAGUACUCUUGUGCCAUGCCCCUUUAUUAGGACUUCAGACCCUUAGUUACCGAGGACAGUGUGACUGACAAGAGAGUACGGUCUAACAGACUGUUGAUUGACUGACCUUUGCGACUGUGUACAUGAGGAAGAGGGGAAGACUCUGAUUUGUGGAAAUUACUUAUUUUACAACAUUACUACAUUAUUUUUCAGGACGCCCAGGAGGAUGCAGCUUGAUAGUGUUGUUGUAUUGUAGGUUGUUGGAUUGCUGACUUAAUGCUGAUUGUUAUGUGAUUCUUGGUCUAUUGAUAGUAACACUUUUGUGAAACAGGUUAACGAUUAAUUGGGGAAUAAUAUCAAUGUUGGGUGACAAUUGCCAACUUGUCGCUUCUCUGGAGUAUGUAUACAGGAAUUAUGUAUUCCACCCCUUUGGCAGGAGUAUCUUUUGCAGAUUUGUGAUUAAUUUAUAUAAGGCUUGUUUGCAGGACUUGUCAGCUGGGCCUCUGCGGCGGGGAAUACGACCUGUUUAAUUGUGGAUGGUGUUGUGUAUGCUGGAUGGUUUUUUUUGUUUUUUUUUUACCGCUGGUAUUCGCUGAGGUGUUUUUUUACGUAGUCUACCUAGUUUGCUUGUUUUCAUUCAUUUUUCAUUUCUUUUAUCUUUGUGUAUGUGUGUAUGGAUAUUGGGUUUUGGUGUUAAAUUGGUCAUUUAACAUGGGGAGGAAUAUGUACAUCCUGUAUGUCUGGCCGAAGAAGGUCAUAAUCAUGACUCUGGUGAUCUCCCUGAUUAUAGUUACAGGAAUCUAUUUAGGAAUGCCCUCAAAACAAUAAGAACGAGUGGGAAAGAGGGCCGUGAAGCCAACAGGGGCCCUAGAGUUGAACUACACACUGGGGGAAAGGACGGUAUACCAAUUAGAUUUGUGUAAGGUGGUAGAUUGUGUAAUCUGGGGCGAUCCGGCGGGAAAUGACAUUUACUUGUGCGCUUUAAGUAUAGGACAUGGAGGAGCUCACCGGUACCCGGUGAACCUAAAAUUCAACGUGAACCACCAGGUGGAAUUGUGUUACAGCUGGAAGCAGGUGAUUAUCCACUCGAAACCGGGAUACUGGGUGCCGAUGAAUGGUAGAAGUUAGCAGUGGAAGGACAGGAUCAAACUGGAAAAAGGUAGUAUGCACCCGGUAACCUCUGGGGAGCGACACCCCGUACUGCUGACCUUGUAUGAUAUAAAUAGCCCCCCGUGGAAAGAGUGGGGCAAACCAGUGUCAACCUUUACGGUCUUAACUUUGGGAAUAGAUGUCUCGGGGGCCGACCCCCUAGGACAGAUUAUUAUUAAUUGGCUACGGUCUUAACUUUGGGAAUAGAUGUCUCAGGGGCCGACCCCCUAGGACAGAUUAUUAUUAAUUGGCUACGACCGACAAAAAGUUCAUCUAAUCCGAUAAUGAGAAAAUUUGCUAAUUUACCACUAUCACAAAACACGGAUCCGGUAGUUUUUAGAACCUCUAAAGCGACAGGAUAUGAGCCUAAAUAAUGACUUGGUCUAGGGGGUGGUAUACCGUCGUGUGCUACAUGGGGCUAAGGGAUGAGCAGCAGGAAUUAAUACAGGUAAUCUUUAUCUUAAAAAAAUUACUGUGGAAGGUAGGGACACAGUCAAAAUGUAUCAAAAGGACUGUCUUGUCUGUGCUACUAUGAAUAACCUCAAUUGGAUUGUUAAUCCUGUGAUCCAGGAAAAUUUUAUUGCUGCUACUAAAUUCGAGUCGACCUGUGCCUACAAGCUGAUGACUAAUGACAAUCUGGAGGGUGAGUGCCAGCGCUGGGACUACUUCUAUCCUCUAACUAAGGUAAAAGGCGCUCCCCUCUAUGAUGUUGGAAUGGUCCUGUCCCUACCUUGCAUCUCCCAAAAUUAGAGUAAGGUAACUUUAGGCCCCAAAAACAAGUUUUCCCGAUCAAAUGGCCACCUGGAUCCACGGUUUUGUAAUUUCACACUUUUUAUUGACUAUUAUGAUGCGGCCCGAUUGAGUAAGACGAGGUCUGAUUUGUGGUGGAUGUGUGGUGAUGGUUUGUUGUGGGACUUCCUGCCCAUUGGAUGGACAGGCACUUGUGCAUUGGUCUCGAUGAUAACCCCCACAGUGAUCAAGCCUCUUUCUGAGCAGGAAAUCAACCAUAUGGCGGAUUUCAUCUGGGAGUGUGACUGGUGGGGUAGCUUACUUAACCUGCUCCCGCCGUGUGGUCAGUGGCUUCAACGUGGGUGGAAAUGCUUGGGAAUCAGGAGAGGACCCUGCCUACCUUGACGCCAUUGGAGUUCCCAGAGGUGUCCCGGAUGAGUAUAAAGCUCGCUGUCAAUUUUCUGCAGGUCUUGAGAGUAUUUUUAUAUGGGUAACCCCGAAUAAAAAUAUUGAUUUUAUAAAUUACCAUCAUUACCAAAUUCAAAGACUGGUAAAUUUCACCUCCCAAUUGACAGAGGGCAUCCAUGAGUAACUAUCAUCUACUUCUCUCAUGGCAUUCCAAAAUAGGCUGGUCCGCGAUAGUGUGUUAGCGGAAGAAGGGGGUGCCUGCUCUCGAAUCAAGGGUCACUGUUGCACGAUUAUCCCCAAUAAUACGGCACCUAACGGAAAGAUCACCAGAGCCAUGAAAGGUUUGCAAGCCAUGUCUGUCAAACUUAAAUCAAUGUCUGGAGUUGAUGACAACCCAUUCCAUAGCCUGCUGAAUAGGAUGUUUGGUAAAUGGAAAGGUCGCAUGCUGACUUUGGCAACUACCAUCCUGGUUAUCAUUGCUGUGCUUGCUUUGUGUGGAUGGGCAGCCGUGGCCCAAUGGUAAAGAUCAUCGCCUGCCACCGUGGGGGACCUAGAUUCAAGACAUCGAGUGGACCAUCCGCCAACAUCCCCCGGACUCACGGCUGUCCUUGAGCAAGACACUGAUACCCAGAAAUGCUUCCCGGGCGCUUCAGGUGCCCCCUGCUCCAGUGUGUUCCACUAACAUGUGUAUGUGUUCACUGUGAUGGGUUAAAUGCAGAGAAAAAAUUUCGUUCGCAUGCAUGCAUGUUCAUGACAAUAAAAGAUGAUUCUUCUUCUUCUUCUUCAUGUUGUGUUAUUCCUUGUCUCAGGAAUCUAGUCCUCCGGAUUGUUCUCAAGGCCUUUGAGGGGAAGGACCCCCGCGGCCAAUAUCAGCUGCUGCCCCUGAAAGAGGACGUGUUGUCCUCCCCCUGUCUCAUACACACCUGCUCCUGAGAGCAUCUUCACUACCUGUGCCUCGUUCACCCUAAUUACCCCUUGCAUUUAACCUCGUGUCUCAUUCUUUCUAGUCGCUAGUUCGUUGUACCUUGUCGUCGCGUUCGAGCAUUCCUUGUUUCCAUGUCACAGACACACAGUAAAACUAGACCCUGUUCCGAUUAUCGACCUCGCCUUUUUGCGUCACGUUUUUGGAUACAGUAGCCUUUU